UCAGUUUAGAACGUGGGCUUAAAAGAGACGGUUCACCACUUGUCGGCAGAAAUGAGCAGUGCGGAAAUACGAAAAUAAAAAAAAUUUAAGCGGGAGCCAAUUAUAUAAAUUUGUACUGCAAAGUUUUGCGCGGUUAAGAGGUGCUCUAGUGGUUCGUGUCCAAGUGUGAAGUGUGUUCAAACUUAAAUUCCCAUUUUUUUAAUUAUUGAAAUUCUGUGUGAAUUGUGAGAUGUGAUUUGCAGACUUCUUGGCAAGUCGUUGUCAAUCGCACUGUUUAUAGUAAAGGUGAACAAAAGUAACCUUCAGCAGGACAACAAACGCUUGCCAGAUGGAAUUGUUAGCAGAAAUGCGAUAAAAUAUAUAUAAAACGCCGAGGCCAGUGACUAUCCCAAGGUGGUUAAGUGGAAAUAAAAGAUAAGUAGUGUCGGUAAAACAUCGAACCCAAAUAGGCUCAGUGCGAGACAGAGUAGACAUCUUGAUAGCGUUCAGGCAUACAUUUUUACUGAACAAAUAAAGACGACGUGAUUGCUUGUGUGUUAAUGCGGUUAUUAUUCUGGCGUGUUAUAUCGCGCUUCUUCUAGAUAACAAAUUUCAAACCGCAGGGCGCAUCAAUUUUAAUUAAACGCCUAGGCGCGUCCCUUAACAACCGUCCGUGCUUUUUGCGCCUCACCUCACGGUUUGCGUCUUAAAACCUGCGUCAUCAUCAGCAAUAUCCGUUGAGACAGUGAAAACCAGAACAAGGAUCCGGAGCGUGCCUCUGGGAGAACACCGAAAUCACCGAUACCAUAAAAUUUCGAAACUAAUUUUAGAGUUCCUGGUUAACAAAUUUUCGUUACCGGCACAUUAAAUAACAAUAAAGGAAACAACUAACUUAACAGCUUAAGCACUCAACUGCUGACAUCCACACAUACCCUAAAUCUUCUGGCAUAACUUUUGUGAGCUUAUCGAAUUUCCAAAUCGAUAUCCUCCUGACAUCAUAUUCCAGUUCUUUGUUGACCUGUAAAGCAGCGAAGAGGUGAGCAUAUAAAAAUGCUCCUGCAAAUAGUAGUACCGUUAUCACACUAACCUUGUUGCCAAAGUAAAGCCAAUCGCAGCAUAUUUGGGGCAGACAAAUUCCAUUUUGCAACACAAUAACUGAGAAUAAUGGUGAAGGCGACUUUGUGAGAAGCGCAUAUAGCCACACUUUUACAAGGAAGCAAAGAGGAAAAUUGACGGUUAGAGAAAGGUGACAGCAGAAAUACCAAUAGCAACGCAAGCCUGCAAUUUUAGCGAGUGUUCGCCCAUCGCAACGCAAACUUCUCAUCACAUUUUGGUGAUUGCACCUUUCAUGUUGCUAUCAUCGCUAUCUUCCUCCCACAGUCUUUUUUUCGACUCAACCAUUUUUAUUGAAGGUUUCCGGUUUUAAAUUGCCUGAAUCACGUAUACGCCAUGGUGACGACUGAGAGGUUUCACAAUACAUGUGCAGUGCUGUUGUAGAUAUAAGCAGCUCGUGCUUAACUUCUCCCCCUGGUAUGACAUACCACAAAUGAUAAAUGCGGGCGGAACUCAAAUGAAACACUUAACGCAACCGAAAAGAAUCUGGGCGGAGAACAACUUAGAAGACAUUUUAUUUUUUUCUGGUUUCACCAUUCCACCAUAGCAAAUACAAAGAGUUUUCACAGCUGGUCCGCAUGAGAAACGCCUUCUUGAGUCCUGUUCGUCAACUACAAGGGCUUGGAAUCCUAUCCACUGCAGCUGAGCUUCGGGCAGAUCCUAAUGCAUAUCAUCGGUGUGGAAUGGCAUGACAUCAACUUGCGCUGGAACUCAACGUAUUUACGAGACCUCCGCAUUCCUCCACAUACACUUUGGAAUCCGGAUAUGCUCAUUUCUAACAGCGAUAUAUGAGCAGUGGAGACAACGACCGUUCACAGCCACAAAAUUACUAGUCAACCGAAGUCUUACUCAAAGAUAUAUAGACAGACGAAAAAGCAGAUCGAGUGUAGACCAAGGUAACUCUUUAACUUAACUAUGUGGCUCUACCGAAUACCUGAUGACAACCUCAAAGCCUCAAACGCUCAGAUGUUUUGGAUGCUUAUGUGGCCGAUAUAAAGGAGAGGUAGCAAAUAUAUCACAAUGGCAGCAACCUGAUUGACAUCUUUCAGCAGAAUAGUAAAAAACGCCAUUUGGGCUUCGACAUCUGGCCACUGUUGAGGAUGGACAAGCGAAUAUAUGAUGCCUGCUUCUGUUAAGAAAAGAACUGUAAUUUCGGAGUCCACAUCACUGAAAACCUGCGGCAGAAUUUGAAAUAAUAAUGUGAAACAUUCCACCUUAGAUCGCUGAAUUGCACGGAAAUGAAAUUAAUUUGAUUAAUUAUACUCUAAACAAAUAACUUAAGUUUUAAUAAUAAUAAAAGCGCAACAAGUAAAA